rnacentral:misc_RNA from 1 species
GCUCAUCCACCGAAUGGGCGGCAGGCAAUCCGUGUCGGUUGCGUGAGGUGGGAUGNUGACCCGGAGGUUGGUUCUUGUMCURCCUACCCCUUCAAGGGAAGCGGGCCACUUGAUCGUUAAGCCUCCAUCCCGCGCCUUCCAACGGGCGCGGGAGGAUAGNGAAGCACGCCCCGUGUUCCACUGAGCACCCGCCAGUCGCGUGGCCCUCAGGGACGUGCAACGCUCUCGGGCCCAGUACACGCCGCAGACGGGGACUCACGUCCCAGUCUUAAGAGAAGCUUCGGCAUAACUUAUGACGGCCGCCCCACCCCUCGACCGCCCUGGCGGCANGAGGGCGAUGGGCAACGUCRUGGAGGAAUAC